rnacentral:rRNA from 1 species
UACGUAGGGUGCGAGCGUUAAUCGGAAUUACUGGGCGUAAAGUGUGCGCAGGCGGCAGAGCAAGUCGAGUGUGAAAGCCCCGGGCUUAACUUGGGAAUUGCGCUCGAAACUACUUUGCUGGAGUGUGGCAGAGGAAGGUGGAAUUCCACGUGUAGCGGUGAAAUGCGUAGAGAUGUGGAGGAACACCAAUGGCGAAGGCGGUUCUCUGGGACGGUACUGACGCUGAGACGCGAAAGCGUGGGGAGCGAACAGG